ACAGCAGUAGCCGCGGUAAUAUGAAGGGUGCAAGCGUUAAUCGGAAUUACUGGGCGUAAAGCGUGCGUAGGCGGUUUGUUAAGUCUGCUGUGAAAUCCCCGGGCUCAACCUGGGAAUGGCAGUGGAUACUGGCAAGCUAGAGUGUGUCAGAGGAUGGUGGAAUUCCCGGUGUAGCGGUGAAAUGCGUAGAGAUCGGGAGGAACAUCAGUGGCGAAGGCGGCCAUCUGGGACAACACUGACGCUGAGGCACGAAAGCGUGGGGAGCAAACAGGAUUAGAUACCCCUGUAGUCCCUGUCUCUUAUAC
rnacentral:rRNA from 1 species